rnacentral:lncRNA from 1 species
UCAAUUUUGGCCAGGAAGAGGAGGGGAAUGUACUUCCCUCCCCCAUGUCUCUUUAAAGGUCAUAGAGACCCUAUGAUUCAGAACCUACCUCUUAUGUAGAAAAUAGUUGAGAAAAAAUUAAAAUGUUUAAUUCUGCUCCUCUGUCUAAUCCAAAGGAAUUUCAGCAUCCCAGCUGCCCUCAGUUCUCUCUUUGGGCAGAUCGAGAGAGCAGAGUGGUAUUUGCUUUCUCUGGGCUACAAUCAUUAAAAAUUAUGGAAGCAACCAGGAACAUAGGACAAAAACUAAUCAGGAGACCAAAGCGGAGCUGAAGAAUGAGGUGAAGCUCCUGCCAGCUGGUUGGUUUCAGAAUUAGUUUCACCUUGCCCUACAAGCACCUCCACAUCAAAAAGCUGACUGAAGGUGUUAUUAAUAAUUCCAGCACUGUAUCCCUAACCUAAAGCUCUUGGCUCUAAAGAUCCUAUUGUUCUCAGUUGACUUCCAAGCAAGUCCAGGAAAAAGUGAGACUGGGAAGGUCGAUACCCACUCAUUGUGUACCCUUGGCUUCACCUGCAUAAGUGCAAGAAUAUGAGACAGUCUGGUUUUACAAAUUGGUAUGUAAAGAUGUAAGACCGUCUGGUUCUACAAAUUGGCAUGUAAAGUUGAGGGAAGACCUGAUGGCUCAGCAGCAUAUGGCCUCUAGCCUAGUCACUGCUGAAAAUCAGGUCUCCUAAAAUCUGGGUUGUGUUUCAUUGUGGUUUUGGUGUACAGUUGCUCUCAGCAUUCAUUUUAGUUUUCAUGUUUUGAUUUAAUUAAAGAGUUCAAGUUUCAAAAAAUCAAGUGGGAGGCUGAACAGGGAAUAGAGUUGGCAGUGAGUCGGGAAGAUGUUAACACGUUGAAUGCCCUCCUUCCACCUGCAAGGUGUCUGUUUCAAAAACCUUCUGCAGAUGUCCACCUUGAAACCUCUCAGGGAGAAUGCUGCUUUCUAACACAGUGACCACUGGAAGCUAUUUCAGUUCUGCACUGGACAACUCUUCAACAUCAGGAUCAAGCUACAACAGCAACAAAUAUGGGCAAGCUUCUUGUGUUCAGAUUGUGGAGGCAACUGUAAUUUGUUAAGAAGAGGACCAUAAAAAUACCUUGAAAAAACAGAUUAGAAACAAACAUAAAAGAUUUAAAAUACCUGUUGUAAACCCCCAGAAAAUAAAAGAUUGAUUAACACUUAAUUCA